UGCGCAAUUAUUAUUUAAAAUUUCAGUAACAGCAACGAUUUAAUUGAUCCAAAAAUACAACAGACAUGAUAAACUUUAACAUUGCAAGUGAUAAUUAAUAAAAUCUCAUAUAAAAACAUUUCGAGCAGUCUGUCACUGCGGUAGUCGAAGUCCCGAUGGCUUUGUUAAAUUCACCGUCCCAGGAUAAUGUUUUAGAAUGUGAAAAUGGUCUGCCUACUGCAUCCAAGCAAGCGUCCGACAAAUGGACCUCAAUAGCUGCAGCACUCGUAGUUGCACUAAUAGUAGGUGUUCUUGUCGGACUGCUCUGUUACUACUGGGACUCGAUAAAUCUAUUUUCGGAUAAUAAAGACGGUGAGAGUGGUGAAGAUGAUGACAACGAGUUACUAAUAUUCACACUAUUCAAAUUGUUGAAAUCAGUAGAGUGAUUGUUUUUGUUAUUGUUUUAUUAUUUUAUUUUAACUUGUUUUACUUGCUUCAGCUUUGAUGUAUUAAUUUUCGUAUGUAUAGAAUAACAAAUAAAAUUUUAAUAAAUU